AGAAGAUGCUGAUAAGAUCUUGUUUAAAUGGCUCGCUAAUACAAGACGCAGAUCGUUUAAAAUGAACCCUACAUCUUUAUAGGAUGUUAGAAAUGAAGACAUUACCUCAAAAUAGGGAGAAACCCAGAGAGUUGCUGAGUCUCAGGAGAAUGGAUGUUUGUAAUUCAGAGCAAUGUUUUUUUCACAAAACUUGCCCUAUCAAGAAGGAGAACAUGUAUAAUUGACAGAUAAAUCAAUUCAAUUCUUGGAACUAGAGGAAUAUUGGAACUCCAUAUUCAGAAUUGAAAGAUGAAAGGAGAGAAAGAGGAAGAGGAAGGUGAAGAGGAUGAGUAAUAAGAGAAAGAAGAAAGCACUCUGGUCUCAUUCCUACAGCUUUCAAAAGAAAAGACAAAAGAGACUUCUGGGAUUAUGUUAUUGACAUGAAUAUAAGUAAUAAAGAAUAUGAAACAGUUCCUGGCAAAGAAGUUACCACAAGG